rnacentral:rRNA from 1 species
GAUGAACGCUAGCGGCAGGCUUAACACAUGCAAGUCGAGGGGUAUUGGUUUUCGGACCAAGAGACCGGCGCACGGGUGCGUAACGCGUAUGCAAUCUACCUUUUGCAGAGGGAUAGCCCCAGAGAAAUUUGGAUUAAUACCUCAUAGUAUAGUACUUUGGCAUCAAGGAACUAUUAAAGUCACAACGGCAAAAGAUGAGCAUGCGUCCCAUUAGCUAGUUGGUAAGGUAACGGCUUACCAAGGCUACGAUGGGUAGGGGUCCUGAGAGGGAGAUCCCCCACACUGGUACUGAGACACGGACCAGACUCCUACGGGAGGCAGCAGUGAGGAAUAUUGGACAAUGGGCGCAAGCCUGAUCCAGCCAUGCCGCGUGCAGGAUGACGGUCCUAUGGAUUGUAAACUGCUUUUGUACAGGAAGAAACACUACUUCGUGAAGUAGCUUGACGGUACUGUAAGAUAAGGAUCGGCUAACUCCGUGCCAGCAGCCGCGGUAAA